rnacentral:rRNA from 1 species
GGCGGACGGGUGAGGAAUACAUCGGAAUCUACUCUGUCGUGGGGGAGUAACGUAGGGAAACUUACGCUAAUACCGCAUACGACCUACGGUGAAAGCAGGGAUCUUCGGACCUUGCGCGAUUGAAUGAGCCGAUGUCGGAUUAGCUAGUUGGCGGGGUAAAGGCCCACCAAGGCGACGAUCCGUAGCUGGUCUGAGAGGAUGAUCAGCCACACUGGAACUGAGACACGGUCCAGACUCCUACGGGAGGCAGCAAUG